CCGCCCAUGCCCCAGCCGCUGCUGUUCUCUGCUGGGUCUCGCAGCAGUGGUGACCUCACUAAGCUGCACCCAUGCCCCAAGUCGGAUGCCCGGAACUGGAGCUAACGGCCAAGAUUACCGGAGAUCCACUCCAUGGAACGGGACAAAAUCAGCCAAGUAUCAUUAAGUGUUACUAACCUGAGAAUGGCCAUUGUUAUCGGAGUGGCAAUCAUGAAGGUGGUUACAACGACAAAAAAGAAAAACACCAUAAACAGUAUCAAAUUAUUACAGGAGGAUUUACAUUUUCCAGAUGACCACAAGUAAUCCACCUUGGAAUUAACCACAGUGUAAAUUAGUAGCUGUUUCCAUUCAAUUCAAAGCCAAGCUUGAAUUUUGAGACAAUUACGCCACCUAUAACUUGUCCUAGGGCCGCUGCUGGAAUCAGUAUACCACCUGGAAUUUACAGAAAAGGACAGCAGCUGUUAUAGAAUACAUAUAAUGUUAACAUACCUGGCAAGUGUUUGGGGAAGCAGGAGAAAGGUAAAAUAAGCAACCAGGUCGCCAGACCCACGAUUAAGAAGGCAAUCCACCAUGCACCAAGCCAUCGGGGGUCACUGGUAGACAGAGGCACACUGCAUUGGAAAUAAAAAAGCAA